GGGAAACCCACCUCAAAACUAGGUCUCCCCAAGGGCCGUGAUAGACCAUCACGUCAAUAGGCCAGGUGUGGAAGCGCAGUAAUGCGUGCAGCUAACUGGUCCUAAUCGCCCACGAGAACUCACUUG
rnacentral:rRNA from 1 species